GUGGGGAAUAUUGUACAAUGGGGGGAACCCUGAUCCAGCCAUGCCGCGUGUGUGAAGAAGGCCUUUUGGUUGUAAAGCACUUUAAGCGAGGAGGAGGCUACCGAGAUUAAUACUCUUGGAUAGUGGACGUUACUCGCAGAAUAAGCACCGGCUAACUCUGUGUCAGCAGCCGCGGUAAUACAGAGGGUGCAAGCGUUAAUCGGAUUUACUGGGCGUAAAGCGCGCGUAGGUGGCCAAUUAAGUCAAAUGUGAAAUCCCCGAGCUUAACUUGGGAAUUGCAUUCGAUACUGGUUGGCUAGAGUAUGGGAGAGGAUGGUAGAAUUCCAGGUGUAGCGGUGAAAUGCGUAGAGAUCUGGAGGAAUACCGAUGGCGAAGGCAGCCAUCUGGCCUAAUACUGACACUGAGGUGCGAAAGCAUGGGGAGCAAACAGGAUUAGAUACCCUAGUAGUCC
rnacentral:rRNA from 1 species